rnacentral:tmRNA from 1 species
GGGGCUGAUCGGUUUCGACGGUGAAGCCGGGAGCCGAUACGUGCGACCCGAGUUGCUCAGACUCGCUAAACAGGGCACCAAUAUAAACGCCAACGACAACUUGGCACUCGCUGCCUGAUCCAAUCAGGUACACGAGUCAUUAGCGACCGGUAACGGCACGCAGGGCCAACUCAUCGCAGCCCGGUAACAGAAGCGGAGAGUGACAGCCGGAAAGACGGCUGACGGCGAGAAAGAACGCUGGCUGCGGGGAAAGUCCCGCCGGUAGCGCCGAGAGUGUGGGAUUUCCCGCACGCGGAGCGCAGGUGACCCGUCACCGCCAUGGCCGCAAGUGGAGAGAUCGGGAACGGUCGUAGCGCGGGCGGUCACCCUUCAGCGGACGAGGGUUCGAUUCCCUCCAGCUCCACAA